rnacentral:rRNA from 1 species
UACGGAGGGUGCGAGCGUUGUUCGGAAUCAUUGGGCGUAAAGGGCGUGUAGGUGGUCUGUUAAGUCAUGUGUGAAAGCCCUCAGCUCAACUGGGGAAGUGCGCAUGAAACUGACAGGCUAGAGUACCGAAGAGGAAGGUGGAAUUCCCGGUGUAGCGGUGAAAUGCGUAGAUAUCAGGAAGAACACCCGUGGCGAAGGCGGCUCUCUGGAACGCAACUGACGCUGAGACGCGAAAGCGUGGGGAGCAAACAGG